rnacentral:rRNA from 1 species
UGAGGAAUAUUGGUCAAUGGGCGGGAGCCUGAACCAGCCAAGCCGCGUGGAGGAAGAAGGUACAGAGUAUCGUAAACUCCUUUUGUCAGGGGAUAAAAGGCGCCACGAGUGGCGUUCUGAAGGUACCUGAAGAAAAAAGCAUCGGCUAACUCCGUGCCAGCAGCCGCGGUAAUACGGAGGAUGCGAGCGUUAUCCGGAUUUAUUGGGUUUAAAGGGUGCGUAGGCGGUCUUUUAAGUCAGCGGUGAAAGCCCGGGGCUCAACCCCGGCGAGCCGUUGAUACUGGGAGACUGGAGAGGAAGAGAGGCAUGCGGAAUUCGCGGUGUAGCGGUGGAAUGCUUAGAUAUCGGCGAAGAACUCCGAUUGCGAAGGCAGCAUGCUGGCUUCUGUCUGACGCUGAGGCACGAAAGCGUGGGGAUCGAACAGGAUUAGAUACC